rnacentral:rRNA from 1 species
UACGUAGGGGGCAAGCGUUGUCCGGAUUUAUUGGGCGUAAAGAGCGUGUAGGCGGUCAGGUAGGUCCGUUGUGAAAACUCGAGGCUCAACCUCCAGCUGUCGAUGGAAACCAUCUGGCUAGAGUCCGGAAGAGGAGAGUGGAAUUCCUGGUGUAGCGGUGAAAUGCGCAGAUAUCAGGAAGAACACCCGUGGCGAAGGCGGCUCUCUGGGACGGUACUGACGCUGAGACGCGAAAGCGUGGGGAGCGAACAGG